GGCCUAAUACAUGCAAGUCGAACGAUACCAGAGAGCUUGCUUUCUGGGAAAGUGGCGCACGGGUGCGUAACGCGUAUGCAACCUACCUUAAUCAGGGGGAUAGCCUCUCGAAAGAGAGAUUAACACCGCAUAAAAUCACAGUCCGGCAUCGGACAAUGAUCAAAUAUUUAUAGGAUAAAGAUGGGCAUGCGUGACAUUAGCUAGUUGGUAAGGUAAUGGCUUACCAAGGCUACGAUGUCUAGGGGAUCUGAGAGGAUGACCCCCCACACUGGUACUGAGACACGGACCAGACUCCUACGGGAGGCAGCAGUAAGGAAUAUUGGUCAAUGGGGGCAACCCUGAACCAGCCAUGCCGCGUGCAGGAAGACGGCCCUCUGGGUUGUAAACUGCUUUUAUCCGGGAAUAAACCCUUUUACGUGUAAGAGGCUGAAUGUACCGGAAGAAUAAGGAUCGGCUAACUCCGUGCCAGCAGCCGCGGUAAUACGGAGGAUCCAAGCGUUAUCCGGAUUUAUUGGGUUUAAAGGGUGCGUAGGCGGCCCGUUAAGUCAGGGGUGAAAGACGGUGGCUCAACCAUCGCAGUGCCUUUGAUACUGACGGGCUUGAAUACACUUGAAGUAGGCGGAAUGUGACAAGUAGCGGUGAAAUGCAUAGAUAUGUCACAGAACACCGAUUGCGAAGGCAGCUUACUAAGGUGCAAUUGACGCUGAGGCACGAAAGCGUGGGGAUCAAACAGGAUUAGAUACCCUGGUAGUCCACGCCCUAAACGAUGAAUACUCGAUGUUAGCGAUAUACUGUUAGCGUCUAAGCGAAAGCGUUAAGUAUUCCACCUGGGGAGUACGC
rnacentral:rRNA from 1 species